GUGAGCGUAGCUCAACUGGUUAGAGCAUCUCCCUGUGGAGGAGAGGGUUGUGGGUUCAAAUCCCAUCGCUCACC
rnacentral:tRNA from 1 species